rnacentral:rRNA from 1 species
CCUACGGGAGGCAGCAGUGAGGAAUAUUGGUCAAUGGUCGGGAGACUGAACCAGCCAAGCCGCGUGAGGGAUGAAGGUACAGAGUAUCGUAAACCUCUUUUGUCAGGGAACAAAGGCGGGGACGUGUCCCCGGAUGAGUGUACCUGAAGAAAAAGCAUCGGCAAACCCCGUUCCAGCAGCCGCGGUAAUACGGGGGAUGCGAGCGUUAGCCGGAUUUAUUUGGGUAAAAGGGUGCGAAGGCGGUCCGUUAAGUCCGCGGGAAAGGCCCGGGGCUCAACCCCGGCCCGCCGUUGAAACUGGCAGUCUCGAGUUGGAGAGAAGUAUGCGGAAUGCGCGGUGUAGCGGUGAAAUGCAUAGAUAUCGCGCAGAACUCCGAUUGCGAAGGCAGCAUGCCGGCUCCACACUGACGCUGAGGCACGAAAGCGUGGGUAUCGAACAGGAUUAGAUACCCGAGUAGUC